rnacentral:lncRNA from 1 species
CUCAGCGCUUAAGCGUUUGAUAGUGAUUCUUCCUUUGCACCUUUUUUCAUCCUUCCUUGAUUCCAACUCCUUUCUUCUUCAAUCUCGAUCAUUCAAUUCUCGUCUAACCUUGUCAAAAUAAGGAAAACCAAGCAUAAUACCUCUAAAACCACCUUUGACUCUCUUUUAACCUAACUAAAGCAAUUUGCAUGAUUUUAAGAAAAUUUCUAAGUCAUGAAGGGUGUGUUUUGUAUCAAAAUUAAGUAUUCAAAUAACGGUUUUUGAACCGUUAUCAAGGAUUUAUUCGUAUAUAUGGUUGUAUGUAAGUGAAAGACAAAAUUAUAUACUGAUUUUAAAUAGGGAUCUUCCGUAUAAUAGUAGUUAAAAAAAAACAUUUCGUAAUUGAAAAAUAACAUUUAGUUUAGAGGAUCUCACUCUUGAUUGUUCUCACUCUCGAAUCUUCUCACUCUUGAGCCUUGACCUUCUCCCCCUUUCUCUUCUCACUCUCGAGUCCUAACAUUCGUUCUCCUUGCACUCUCUUCCUCUCUCACAGUCGUACUCCCUGCACUCUCGAGCCCUAAACCAGUCUGUUUUCCCUUGCACUCGUUCAUAGUCGUUUGACAGGAAGCGUAACCUUGCAUAGUCGUUCUCCUUCCGUGAGCUCACUGUCGUUCUCCUUCCUUGAGCUAUCAGUCGUGUGACAGGAAACGUCUGUUUCCUUCUGCUGAACCACCAUCCUCCCUCAUUGGAACCGUAUAUUGACACAUUGGAGGCAUCGUUUUCCCUUAGUCGAACCGUAGUUGUUCUCUUACUCGAACCCCGGUGAGUAGUGGAAGUUUUGAUUCUUUAAUUUUUAUUUUCGUUUUGAUCUGGUUGUUGUUACAUUGACCUAGUUUUGGUUGUUG